ACUGAACGCUGGCGGCAGGCCUAACACAUGCAAGUCGAGCGGAUGAAGGGAGCUUGCUCCUGGAUUCAGCGGCGGACGGGUGAGUAAUGCCUAGGAAUCUGCCUGGUAGUGGGGGAUAACGUCCGGAAACGGGCGCUAAUACCGCAUACGUCCUGAGGGAGAAAGUGGGGGAUCUUCGGACCUCACGCUAUCAGAUGAGCCUAGGUCGGAUUAGCUAGUUGGUGGGGUAAAGGCCUACCAAGGCGACGAUCCGUAACUGGUCUGAGAGGAUGAUCAGUCACACUGGAACUGAGACACGGUCCAGACUCCUACGGGAGGCAGCAGUGGGGAAUAUUGGACAAUGGGCGAAAGCCUGAUCCAGCCAUGCCGCGUGUGUGAAGAAGGUCUUCGGAUUGUAAAGCACUUUAAGUUGGGAGGAAGGGCAGUAAGUUAAUACCUUGCUGUCUUGACGUUACCAACAGAAUAAGCACCGGCUAACUUCGUG
rnacentral:rRNA from 1 species